CUGGAACCUGCAGCAAUCUUUCGACGAGAUCAUAUAAAAUUGACCCGAAUGAACCAGCGCACAAUUUCUCCGCUUCAGGACUUUUGUAGUCGGUAUUUCACUUUGGAGGCUAAAAGCACCAUCUUCCUGACUAUUUAUCAGAAUGUUCCUUUAAUCCUAUGAAAAUGGAACUGUAAAACCUAACAAAAGCAGCAGUUUGGGAGUGUUCUCUGGGCCAAGACAAAACCAGCCUGGAUUCUGUCAUCGUUACUGAUGGUGAACAGUAUGCAGAGCAGCAUGCAGAAGCCUCAGUUUGCACAAAGAGCACGAAUGAAGGCAGGAGAAGAAGAUACCAGACUGGCAGUGAUCCCAAGCUCCUCACACGCUGAUGUUCAGGACAGCACAUGUGGGUGCCACAUGAGCAGGUGAAACUGUGAUCCUACAUGUGUGGAAGGGAGGAUAGUAAUUAAACAAUCAGAUGUGCUAAGUGUAUCAUGCUGGGAUAUCACUACAUUUCAGAUGGGUUGUGAGGUUUGAAACCUAAGGCGAUAACUCAGGAAGCAGCCAAGUUAAAGCUGUAAUUGUAAGUUUUUACGCACAGUCUCUGGAGUGCCACAGCACCAGUCCUGUCCUGAUACACUCCCCAGUGGCGUUUCAGACGUUUCACAGCCUAAGGCAACCAUUAGUCAUUCUUCAGCCAUUAAGACACUGAGAUUGUUGUUCUGGAUACUCUCCUGAAUGUCUUUACAGACUGUGGCCCUUCCUGGAGAGAUUCCCUUCCACCUCCCGUUCCUGGGGUUGGUGACUUGCCCCUUGCAACAAGGCAAUCUGGUAGGCCAGGGCCUGGGCCUGGGCCCAGGCCAAGUGGGCUUGGCACUCAGCCCUCUGCUGACUGCAUGCCAGGCUGGCCCUGCGGUGCUGCAACUCCCAACGGCAUUGGCUGUAGGAGAUAGUGGCAAUGGAAGGGCACAAAGCGAGGAGUUAUUUCCUUCUAAUUUUAAUUGUGGCUACUAAACUCCAGACUAUAAUGAACAGAGGUGUAAUAAAUCACUCAGAGUUAAAAUUUGCCCUUGCUUUACAAGCAGUUAGUUGAAAGGUUUUGUUCCACUCCAGUAUGG